GAUGAACGCUAGCGGCAGGCUAACACAUGCAAGUCGAGGGGGAAGUUACUUUCGGGUAACAGAGACCGGCGUACGGGUGCGUAACGCGUAUACAAUCUGCCUUUCACUGGGGGAUAGCCCGAAGAAAUUUGGAUUAAUACCCCAUGGUAUAGUAAUACGGCAUCGUGAUACUAUUAAAGCUUAGGUGGUGAAAGAUGAGUAUGCGUUCUAUUAGUUAGUUGGAGAGGUAACGGCUCCCCAAGGCGAUGAUAGAUAGGGGUUCUGAGAGGGAUGUCCCCCACACUGGUACUGAGAUACGGACCAGACUCCUACGGGAGGCAGCAGUGAGGAAUAUUGGACAAUGGUCGGAAGACUGAUCCAGCCAUGCCGCGUGCAGGAUGAAGGUCUUAUGGAUUGUAAACUGCUUUUGUAAGGGAAGAAUAAGGGCUACGUGUAGUUUGAUGACGGUACCUUACGAAUGAGCAUCGGCUAACUCCGUGCCAGCAGCCGCGGUAAUACGGAGGAUGCGAGCGUUAUCCGGAAUCAUUGGGUUUAAAGGGUCUGUAGGCGGGCUGGUAAGUCAGAGGUGAAAGCGCUCAGCUCAACUGAGCAACUGCCUUUGAAACUGUUGGUCUUGAAUGGUUGUGAAGUAGUUGGAAUGUGUAGUGUAGCGGUGAAAUGCUUAGAUAUUACACAGAACACCGAUAGCGAAGCAUAUUACUAACAAUUGAUUGACGCUGAUGGACGAAAGCGUGGGGAGCGAACAGG
rnacentral:rRNA from 1 species